GUCUACGGCCAUAUCACGUUGAAAACACCGGUUCUCGUCGGAUCACCGAAGUUAAGCAACGUCGAGCCUGGUUAGUACUUGGAUGGGUGACCGCCUGGGAAUACCGGGUGCUGUAGGUU
rnacentral:rRNA from 1 species